GACUUUAUACAUUCCAGCUUACAGAGCAUGCUGUGGUGGAAUGACGGUUUACAAUCCGGCUUACAGAAAAUGCUGUGGAGGGGUUGUCACACCCAGUUGCUAAGCAGCGAAAACGUGGCCACCUAUCUGUUGCUUUUUCAAUUUCAGAAAAUUAAAAAAUCAGGAAAAUUUCUUACUUUUAAUUGUUUUUAUACCACAACAUUGAAAUGUUCUCGCAUUAAAGAUGAUUGCUAGAACCUUUU
rnacentral:lncRNA from 1 species